rnacentral:rRNA from 1 species
CAAUAGCAUAUAUUAACGUUGUUGCAGUUGAAAAGCUCGUAGUUGAACUUUUGGUAGGAGCGACCUGGCCUUGGGCGCAUGCCCUUGUUUGCCGUGUGUCGUAUCUGGCCAUCCUUUUCCGCUUCGGCGGGAAUCCUUUACUGUGAGUAAACUGGAGUGCUCAAAACAAGACGUUUGUUUGGUACAUUAAAGCAUGGAAUAAUAAGAUAGGACCUGGUUACUAUUUUGUUGGUUUGCAUAGCUAGGUAAUGAUUAACAGGGACAGUUGGGGGUAUUCGUAUUUAAUUGUCAGAGGUGAAAUUCUUGGAUUUAUGAAAGACGAACGACUGCGAAAGCGUUUACCAAGGAUGUUUUCAUUAA